rnacentral:tRNA from 1 species
GGAAGGGUGGCCGAGCGGUUGAAGGCGCAGACCUGGAAAGUCUGUAAGCUCCAAAAGGGCUUCGAGGGUUCGAAUCCCUCCCCUUCCGCCA